rnacentral:rRNA from 1 species
GGAGCAUGUGGUUUAAUUCGAUGAUACGCGAGGAACCUUACCAGGGCUUAAAUGUAGUCUGACAGCUUUAGAGAUAGAGUUUUCUUCGGACAGAUUACAAGGUGCUGCAUGGUUGUCGUCAGCUCGUGCCGUGAGGUGUCAGGUUAAGUCCUAUAACGAGCGCAACCCCUGCCGUUAGUUGCCAGCAUGUUAUGAUGGG